GUGGCGCAUUCUCGCGGGCCUGGAGGCGCAGGAGGAUCGCAGGCCCGGUCUGCCCGGGACCGUUUGCAUGUGUGGGGACGCGUGGGGCCCCAGUGGCCACGGGACUGAUCAUCGGGGGGGUGGAGCGCCGACAUGCAGCCUGGAGGGGGGUCUCGCCGGAUGGUGCAGCAGAGUGUUGGAGCCCGACCGGUGUUCCGCAGCCUUGGUGGGUGGUGCCUUGGGGGGGAUGGGGGCAAUGGCAUGGAACGACUGUAACGUUGUUGAGACGUAUGACUUCGGGAGCCCCUGCCCGUCGGUUGGGUUGGAGCCGUGACUGUUGCAUUUUGCAGGUUCCUGCUGGAAAGUGCGCCUCUGCAGUGCAUGGAU
rnacentral:lncRNA from 1 species